GUAGGUUUAGUGCAGGAAUCUGCAUCUCGGCUGAAAGCCUCAGAACCCAGAGUCCAGCUUACCUGAGCAUCCUGAAAAGAACUCCCAUUACUUCCCACUGUCGAGACUUUAGAAGAAACUCUGUGGCAAGCUUGUGAGCAGUUAAUUAAUACAGCCUCCAACUUUUAGAUGAAAAAAAAAACUGAAACAAAGAAGCUUUGAAUAACUUUCCCAAGGUAACUCAACCAGUAGGUGACCAAGAAAGAUUUAAGUUCAAACUCUGACUUCCCUGGAGCUUCUGUUCUGGCUCUGGGGAAAUGAAGAGGAAGACAAUAACUGGAUAAGGCUCGACAUCUAUCAUGACUUGACGGCAUGAGCCAGGAAGCCUGUUAUUAGAUGGAAAAAAAAAAACAGGCUUAAUCGCUUGGAAUACAGAAUGUAAAAUGGGAUUUCCCUGGUGUAGAGAAAAGGACAAUAGGAAGAAGUUGGUUUGAGAAGUAGAAAGUAAAAAUCUGAAUUAUCAAAAGAAGAAAUUUAGAAAGGAAGAUGUCCUUGGACUCGAGGCUCUGACUUGGAUUUUCCACCUGUGAGUCAUUCAACUUGUUCCAAAGGCAAGACGUGUUUUUUUUUUUAGCAAUAGUUUUGAGUUGAGAUUUUUUGUAAUGAAUUCCAAAUGAAAACCCUUGUCCUCUUCGUGGGACAAUCUCUUGGUUUAAUGCCAAAGAUUUACUGUUUGAUGGAGAAAAUGUUGUCAAAAUACGGUUCCCAUUCCAUAGUCAUCAGAAAACACAUGGGAGGGAUAUAUACACUUCCUG
rnacentral:lncRNA from 1 species